rnacentral:tRNA from 1 species
GUGGGUAUUGCUCAGUGGUAAAGUGCUUGCUUAGUAUGCAUGAGGUCUCCUGGGUUCAAUCCCCAGCACCUCCA